UUGCACAUUGCAUUCACUGUCUUUUAUGCUUUCUAUUGUCCAGGUAUUCCCUUUAUUCUCACAUCUUUUUAACUUUUCAACUUGUUGUACUUGUUUGUGUCGUUGGUGUAUCAAAUGCCACUCUCGCUUCUGAUUUUCUUCCUUUCUAUGUUUUUCUAUGGGUUGUGGCUUGAUCAAGAUAUUUUGCAUAGCUGAAGACCAAGGAUUUCACAUUAGAGAUUGUAGCCUGGGAAUUGAAGCAUUGUCUUCAGGUAAGCCCUCUAAAGGUGCUAGUCCAUCGGAUGUCGGGUUUUGGUUGCAACGAUUUGUGCAUUCUGUGCCAGAUGCAUUUUCGUCAGCUUUAUCCUUUUUUGAUAGCUUGACGUCAAAACAUGACAACUUUUCCCUUUUUCCCAGGCUUUACCUUUUUGUUCUAUUGUCGUCAAGAGGUCUUAC
rnacentral:lncRNA from 1 species